rnacentral:rRNA from 1 species
UACAAUAAGCGGAGGAAAAGAAACUAACAAGGAUUCCCCUAGUACCGGCGAGUGAACCGGGAAGAGCUCAAAUUUGAAAUCUGGCGUGCUCAGUGCGUCCGAGUUGUAAUCUAUAGAGUCGUUUUCCGUGCCGGACUGUGUCCAAGUCCCUUGGAACAGGGUAUCAAAGAGGGUGAUAAUCCCGUACUUGACACAAUGACCGGUGCUCUGUGAUACGUCUUCUACGAGUCGAGUUGUUUGGGAAUGCAGCUCAAAAUGGGUGGUGAGUUCCAUCUAAAGCUAAAUAUUGGCGAGAGACCGAUAGCGAACAAGUACCGUGAGGGAAAGAUGAAAAGCACUUUGGAAAGAGAGUUAAACAGUACGUGAAAUUGUUAAAAGGGAAACGAUUGAAGUCAGUCGUGACUGAGAGGCUCAGCCGGUUCUGCCGGUGUAUUCCCCUCAGUCGGGUCAACAUCAGUUUUGUUCGGUGGAUAAGGGCAGUUGGAAGGUGGCACCCUCGGGUGUGUUAUAGCCAGCUGUCGCAUACAUCGGAUGAGACUGAGGAAUGCAGCUCGCCUUUAUGGCCGGGGUUCGCCCACGUUCGAGCUUAGGAUGUUGAC